UUAGAUGGGGUGUAUAUCAACUUGAUAAAUUAGUUUAAUUUGGGGACCCUUACCCUUUGCGCACGUCCCAGAUUACGCCCUCAUUAUUCUCAUUAUAGCCCUUUUCUCGUGACGGCCAGCGGCUGCAAAAAGGAGAAAGCGACUCAAACAAACCGUUGGCCCAAAUUCCAUUCUUUGGUAAGUAACUUUAUUUGUUUUUAUAAUAGCUUGGAAUGUAUUUCGCUGUCGAUUAAGGCUUCCAUUCUGUAAUAAUGACCAUACUAUGUGCAACAGCUGUGAUCAUUUAGCUGGCUAAUAUUGUUUCAAAUUGGCAGGCCUGCUGGCAAGCUAAGAAGUAGCCGACAUGGUUAGCAUUACAGAGCAGAGCCGACACCCUGUCAUUAAUACAACUUAGGUGCCGAACCAUAUGCUCCCAAAAAAAGGCGAGCAGUUGAAGCUGCGGAGAGUUGAAGAGAGUUUAGCCACGUUUUCUUAACUGACAAAUAUUUAAUGUUAAUUAAGCCUGGGCACAUCUUUUGCAGUUUAAUCAGCAUAACUCAGCUUCUUAGUCCGUUAAUUACGCGGCACCCCGUCAUGCUGUAAACAUGUAUCUGCAGUUACUGUAUUUGUAUUUAUUUCAAUCUAGAUGUUACAGUGUUAUGUGAAUACGAGGUGUUGUUGUAUCAUAAUGAGGUUAUCAGGUUAUUCAACUGCAGUACGACGGCACAGAAAGCAAAGGUAGAAAAUGCACGGCCUGCCACUGGAUCAUUGUAACAACAUCUUGUCCACAUUUGCAUUUUUAAACACGUGUUGAAUAGUUAAUUGACAAUUUAUUUUAGAUGUUAUCCAGUUUUCUUUAAAGAGCUAUGAAGUGUUUCUUUUUCAUUAACAAAAACACCAGCUGUUAAUUGUUGAAAGGCUGCAUUUAGGGGUUCGGUGUCCUCUUCAGGGUUGCUUGGACAGAGGUGAACCCUCGGUCUUCAGACAACAGGCUCUCCUGCCUGGACCACCGCCACACCCACAUUGAGCUAAAUUCUUUCUUGAGUUGUCUCCCUUGUUUUAGUCUGCCCCCCCACCGGUGUUAAUGAUGUCAUUCUGAAAAGUAUUAUCAACCUCAUCUGUGAAGAUCCAGACUCUUUUCAAAAAGUAUCUGGUAGGUUUUCACAAUAUAUUUUAUAAUAUCCCACGUGGCAACAAAGUGUUACCCACACUUAUUUCUCCCAUGGCACUCUAGGUAUUAUGAGACAUUGCUAUGGUACACCACCAUCCCUAAUUAUGGAUAGGUGUCUUACCAAGUGUCUAGACCGCAAACGUAGUGUCAAUGCUGCACUCACUUGGUCUAAUUUUCACACUGCACUUGAGCAAAUGACUCGGUUCUGUAUUUGUUCCCUUAUCAAAAAGCUUGACAAAUCAUAAUAAGGGUUACACAAUACAGAGUCAACAGCGAGAAAGGAGAAAGCAAUAAAAUCAAAGAACAGGUCCAGAUCAGAAAAUAUAUGUUGUGGUGUUUAAUUCAAAUGUAUAUAUAAUUCCAUAACCCAGACUAAUGUUGCAAUUCAACCUAUAAAAUGCGUGUAAUAAUAUUCUGUUAGUUUUCUGUGUUUGUGUGUUCAGGCCUCCACUGCUGAGGAUGGAGAGAGGGACAUGGCAUUCAGUGUCGGGGGGGUUCUCAUGAUCCGUCUGGAAAGCCAGACGACGUGGGAAUUGUGAUCAACACAUUGAUGUCCUGAAACAACACAGAUGGGGUCCUCAUGACAUUCAUCAUGCUUCGUGCUCAUUUGUGCCAUUGAUCUGAGCUUUCUAAACAACCUUAAGUACAGCAUGAGGCUUUUCCAGAAGAUCAUAAAAGAAAUUCAAAGAUACAGCAACUGAAGAUCAAGUUGUUUGCACAGGAGUCAAACACCAAGUGAGAAAGCAAAUUAACUUCAUCCGCUCUUUGGGCAUCCAUUGGACCUGUUUCUGCACAUGAUAAUACAGCUAUUCUUCAAUGUAAAUGACCAAUUGCAUGAAUGCAUCUUUGUUUAUAUGGGCCAUGUGUACUACAAGGAAAGAAAACAAAGCUGUAAUGCUCUUGAUAAACAAAGUAGUGAGAAUUUAGCAAUUGCAAAAUUGGUUGUGUAUCAAUUGCAGGAAUUUCUUCUGUGCUUUUUUUGAAAGGUGGUCCAUGGAGAAUGAGCAGAACGUUCAAUGCAAAGAUUUCUCCUCUUUGGAAAGCAGUGCGAAGCCUCCACCCUCGUGGCGUCUUUGUUGCGUCAGGUACCAUGACAUUUGGGAUAGCUUUGGAUUUAUGUUUCACUAUUUAAUACUAUUUAAGAUAUAUAUUAAUAUUUCAUCAGGAAAUAUCCACAUGCUAACUCUCUCAAAUCUGACACUGACAUUCUCUCACGAUCUACUUUUGUAUGUUACCAAACUAACUGCCGGACAUAAAAGUGGAAGUUUACCUAUAACUCUGUGUACAGCUAGUGAUAAAGUUUAGCUUGUCGUAAGCAAGACUGAGAGCAAAGAUUGUCGUAAGCAAGACUGAGAGCAAAGAGUACAAUAAACCUUGUACCCUGAUGCUGAUACCAGCUGUGGAAUUUGGCAAGAGUGCUGCCGUUUGGGUACUACUACUACUACUACUACUACACAAGAACAGCUUUGCAUAUUGAUUUGUAUACUUCCAACAUCUCCGGGUCAUGAUGAAAUGUAGGCCCACACAAGUUGGUACAAUUUUCAGUUUGUUUACUGUUAACUUAUUAUGAUAAGAUAAUGAAUGCAGCUUCAACAAAGUAAAGUAAACCAUGACUUGAUUUGACAUAGUGGGAGCUUUCUGUGUGAUGCGGCUCGGUGCUUCAUGCUCAUUUGCAAUGUAAAGUGUGAAGAGGAGUGGAGCUGCGUCUGCUCCCUGUGGAACGCCCGCACUCCAGAUAGCCAGUCUUUUCUAUUACUAGAGGGCUCUAUGAUGAUGAUGGGCAAAAUGUACAACAUUUAGUGAGGUUAUGAUUGGCUGGAGGGGCAAUCGUUACUACAUCCACUUAACUAAAGAUCACUGCUGUAAGCCCCGAGGCUACACGGGGAACGUGAGCGUGAAUGGCCGUCUCUUUUUGUGUGUCAGCGCUGGGAUUGACCGAUGACCUGUUCAAGGCGUACGCCACCUCUCAUCCCGAUGUUGGAGCUGCAGCUGCAGCCACGCACGACCCUCCAAGCGGUUGAAGAUAAUACAUGGAUGGAUUUUUGACCUCACAAGAUGCACCUAAAGAAUAUCUUUCAUACGCACUUCUGAUAUGAUCAGGAGAAUGGUUAAAGAAUGUGUCUAGAGUCAAUUACAUGUGGAUUUGUGCUUUGAAUCAUGCCUUGUCCAUUAAGUCAUUUUCUCUCCCUCUCUCUCUACCUCUUUUGAAUAGGCACUUCCUCAUUUUAAUGUUUAUCUUUAUCUGCAUCAUGGCUUUCUUCAUUUUAUGAAUCUACCUUUUUUCUUAUUUCUCUGGCAUUUGCGUUAUUUUGCGUAAUAAUGCAUGACAUUUUCCAUUCACUGCAGUGCUUCAACAUUUGAAUGUUUUGAAUGAAUGCUUUUACAUUUGCAUAUACAGUAUAAGCAGGCAGCUUUUUAGCACAUAAACAGAUGCAUUUUAUGCUUAUGUAAGUAGCAGCAUUGUUGGCAAUACAUUGAAUUAAAUAAGGGGCUUCUACUUUCACAAAUGUGUAGCUGCAUUGAUAAUGUUUGGCCGGUGCCCCAAAUUAAAAUGCAGCUUUAAGACUUUUUACAUCAUAUCGUAGCAUAUAAUGUUAUUAGCAGUUACAGCUUAAAAAUCAAUGUUGCAUCUACUAUUCUUGCAGUCUGGAUUGUUAGUGGAGGCAACUUCUUUGUUUGCUAGAACACCUGUGAAGGACCACUUAACAAAAGUGAGAAAAUCAACCUCAAGGAGACGUAUCAUGCUCGCUGGUUUCUUUUCUGGCAUUCCAAUGUUUGUUCCUUUUUACCAGUCUACUAAAAUAUUCCUAAAAGGCUAGUGUGUGGAGGUCAACUAGGCUUCAUUGUUACACCAGAACUCACAGAAUUGAACAUUUAGUCAAGUAAGGUCUUAAGAAAAAAUGUGAGGUGCUUGUACUUCACUUGAUAGAAUUUCAUACUCAUUUAUAGUUCUAAGCCACGUCAUUUCAGUUCAAUAGUCACUUUAGAUUGUUGAUUUUUAUUUUGUAUUAAUAAUCGCAAAGAUAUUGGACGUGAUGUAUUAUUAUAGAUUACGCUACUCGGCUGUGCAUAUUAUCCAUUAUACUGAAAUUGCUGCUUGAUUAAUUCCCUUUGUAAUCAAAUAAUUGCUGUUUUGAGGAUGAACUUCAAAAAUGAAAGUCGACUAGGAAUUAUACAUAAAUAUGCAAAUUCAUACUGUAGAUAUCUCCUAGAGGCGUCAGUAAGGUCACUAUGGAAGCAGAACUGUAAACUGCUAACUCUAUACGGUUGGAAUUUGUGUUCAUUUUAAUUUCAAAUAUUCACAGUUGUGUGUCGACUGGUUGUUAUUCCAAAGGAUUAAUGAUAAUGUAAUUAAACCGUGUGUGACACACACACACACACACACACACGGAGCAGAGACCCCGGGAGAAGGGUGGACCGUACAGGUCGAUCCCUCCCUCAGCAUCUAACUCUAAGGUGAGCAGCGCUGCCUGCAAUCAGGAGAGGCGAGCUGCUCCACGCCUCCCGUCCCACUGCCCAGCGCCUGCUCAUUAAAUCCAGUGUUCAAAGAGAGAAGUGGCCGGAUUGCAGGAAUUUAUACACGUGCAUCUGGCCAUAUUUUCUCCUACGUAGUGACUCUGCAUGUAGUACACAUACAAAGAAAUGUAUGUCCAAAGUGUUAUGAAUGUACAUGUCGGAGUCUAAUGAAUGGAAUCUAUUUCCUGUGUCGGUACAGCCACUGGUGAAUAUGCAGGAUGUAAAACAAUCCGACGCCAUUGAAUGGAUUUGCCAAAAGGAACCAUAGUUUCACACCUCUAACUUGAUAUCACCAUGUUUGUUUAAACUAUGCAAAUAUAAUUUACACUUUGAAGCUUUAGGAAAACUCAAAAGUAUUUUCCAUUAGGACAACUUGUGUGUCUGUAUGAACGUGCUGAACCUGCGUGUAGCUUAAAGAACUGACCUCAUCCUCUCAGUUGUCUGCCCCCAGCGACCGGUCGAGUUGCAGUUCACACCCAAGUCUGUCGCUGUCUAUCCCUUCAUGAUCGUAUCGGGAUGUUGUCUUGGAAAUUCAUCAUAAAGAAUUCAAAUUCUUGUUUAGCAUGUUGUGAGGCCACAGUGACUUUGACAACAAAAUUGUACCAGUUCAUGCUUUAGCGCCAGUGGAUGAUUGUGUAACUUCAACGAAAUUCCCUCCACGUCGUCCAAGGAAAUCAUGAGUGCCGCAGGCUCAAAAAGAAAUGGAAGUAGUGAGUUACAGAAAAGCAGAGGGGAUUGAUUCACUGAAGGAAGUUGAAACGUUUUGGGUGCAGUGCAAAACUAAAGAGCGGUAUCACAUGUCAACUGCCCCCAGGCGAGCAAACAGAUUUAACUUUCUCCUAUUUUGAGGAAACAACUAAUCGUAACUGUGUGGGCCCGUGCAGCCCUAUAGGUAGAUACUUGCUGGAACAGUGGCUUUACUCCCACUGGUACCAUCCACACUCAACAUAUCAGGGAUCCUCUUUCGUCGGGGCGCUUUAGUUGCAAAUAUCCACCAAGUGGUAUAGUUUGUCCCUACAGGCUGCCUUUAUCCUCUGCUACCGGCUUUUAGCCUCAGGCUAACCCUGUUAGUUCCCAAGGGUGAGGAAGAGGAAAACGCUGCUUCCUCAUUCAUUCCUUCAAGCAUACACCAGAUUGAAAGUGCUGGGAUAUUUAUGAUGGCCAUUUCAUGGAGUGAAUAGCUUUGCGUCGAGGAUGGAUGCCCUCGUUCCUGUUUUUAUUCAUUUUCAGAGCAUACUUGUGACAUUGUCUUGUCUUUCAUUACGUCUUUCUGAAAGAAAGUUUGAAUUCUAGAGGAGUUCAUUUUUUUAAUUCCGAUGUAAAGAUAAUAUAAGAGGGACAUUAAGUCUUCCCUUUUUGUUGAGGGUGGCAACAAAUGCCAUCAUCACACAGUUUACGAGGGUUAAAACUAAAAGAUCUAGAUUCGACCAUUUGGGGACAGCAUAGAAACUAGCUGUGAACACAACACUGACAUAAAUUUGAUAAGACAAACAGUUGCUCAUUUACCCAUCCAGCAAUUUAAGGAGCAACAGUAUUAUUAGAGUCGUGUGUCUUUCCAGUUGGUGAACGUAGGUCCAAUCGUAGAUCUACUUUUUAUUUUGUUUUUCCUAACCGAGGGCAAGUAGUUAAGCUAGAAAUGAAAUAAACCUACAUUAGAAGUUUGAAGACAAGUUAUGCACGUAAGGAGUGGUUGAGGAGUUGGGAAUGAGAAUGUGUUGUCUAAGGAGAAAGCUUGCUCUUUUAGUUUGAGACUGCGGCAUUAAACAUUACUGACACAGAAAACAGCGAGCUGAAACCCGCUAUGAAGCCGCAUGAAGCCAAGUGGAGCUGCAGAUUAAGUGGAUCAUUGUGUGUACGGACGACCACGUUCACAUUGUUUCCACAUUGUCAUUUGAUACAUUGCUAUUAUGAAAAUAUCGAUUUUAGCCACUUUAACUCCAGUAUAUUAAGUCAUUGCUGAGAGUGGGAAGAGUACAAAAGGCAUGGAGGUUAAAAGAUGAAGUGGGAGAAUUUGUCAAUUUGGGGACAAGUUAUUAAGUCAGUGCACUGGCCUGCUCAUUUAAGAAUAAAACACUCACCUCAAGGCAAUUUCUGCCCUGUGGUCUGGAACCAACCUUGUCAGAUUAAAAUAACAUUUAUAUAUCACUAAUUCACAAUGGCAAAUACAAGAAAUGAUGCGGCACAGAGUAGUAAAGUUUGUUUGUAAACGUAGUGUGCAGUUUACACACGUCGGUCUUCAUGUAUUUGUCAAGUUGUCAAAUGUAUUCUGAUGUAAUAACCCUUAACUGACAUCACAUAAAGGUUGUAUUUCUCUAAUAUCCAGUUGCAACUAAAGCAAUUCAUAUUUAUGGUUUCUUUAUUCACAUUUAACCAAAACCACCAGUUCUUCCAAACCUGAAACAUCCCCAGUCUCAGGUAACAUUUUGAGCCACAGACCCGCCUACAUGCUGUGGGAUGCACAGAAAAGUGCUUAUACCAGAAGAAAUGAUGCCAGGGAACAUGAUCCAAGCAGUGUUUACCUUUCCCUCAGAGCACAAUCGGGUAAACAGAUCAGUAGUAUAUACAGGCAAUUUCUAAAAGACAAUUUUGCAUUAUCAAUGAGUAUUCUGCUACGCUAAUAGCACGAGCAUGAAACCAGUUUUUUAGUGGCGCUCACAAAAUCAAUCGCACUGAAACACCCAUUUAUUGUGUGCUCGCAAAAUAUACAGAGCUCUAUCUUUCAAUUGAAUUACAAAUAAUAACAAUAAUAACGUUGGCGCAUUCCGCCGCUGAUCUCGGUAUACAAGUACAAUUUCCCUACGAACGGCAUAAGAUAAGGUUUUGCAAACGCGUUGUUAUUAUCAUCAUCAGCAAAACCCCUUUUGAAUCAAUCGACUGCGACAGAUCUCCUGGUUGGAAAAUACCUGAAGAACCAGAAUGAUUGAGCAGGUUCUGGCAUAUUGAAAUAAACAUGGCAACGAUGAUAAAUAAUACGGCUCGAGGUGAUGGCGGUGAUGAUGAUGAUGAUGAUGAUGACGACAAUUCCUUGAACAGCAGCUCUGCACAUGUUAUUCUACUCUCUUCUAAAGAAGAGAACCAUAGUUUUAGUACUGCAGCGUUAAUGGAGCCGUGACCAAAGUUUAAUUUGACAAGCGCCUGUCUCACACACACACACACACACACACACAAAUACACACAAGAAACCGAAAGUGCUUCUAAGAGCACAGUAACAUGUUCACAGCAACAUGCGGACACGCUUCUAUACGUGCACUCUAACCUUUCAACUCUAGGCCUGGGUAAUAAACACCGGCAAACGUUUUCCCAUGACAUUGUGAUCCCCCAGAUUUACUAAAGAAAUGGAUGAUUUAUUAAUACAUUAGAGUAAUUAUGAGGUAAAAAUCAAUCACUAGAUAUCUGAUACACGGUUGAGUGUUAUUCCAGAAUGCUCUCUCAGGAGACGGUGUAGAUUUCAGUAAGUCUGAAAUGUAAUUAGCCUUUAGCUCGGGGCUAUGCUGCGUUCAGCUUGACCUCCUCUCCACAAUGGCCGAGCAUCACUGAUACCGGACUAGUUUUUCAGCCAGACGAAUGCAUGAAUAAAUGAAUCACAAAGAGAAGAGGAAUAUUCACAAAUGAAUGUUUCACUGCAGUGCAAGUUGUACUUUUGUCGCUGGAGUUGAGUGGGAUAGUCUUGACUUUCCUUGAGGUAGCGCUUAUCCACGAUGGUUCAUUUUACACCCUGAAAAUCCAUCCAGUUUUGCACGAAUAUUAACUCAAGCACGGUUGCUGCUGUAAAUGUCUACCUACAAAGACCAGACCGAAUUCUCCUGAACGCCUCAAGAGCUUCAUUUUGCACUACUGGCCUCUGAAAGAAACGUAACAGUCAUGCAUGUCUUGGACAGGUUUGAACUCGGAUAAUCUUGACAACGAGGUGAAUCUCUAGGUUACUCCUAGAAAUGGCAGGAGCAAACAGAAGUAUUAUGUCUGCAAGGACAAAGUUGCUUCUCAAGGCCUGAUGCAUCACUUUGCAUGACUCAAUACGACCCAUGUGUCUUUGUCUGAUCUAAUUGGCUACUAGUCUGGUUGAUUUACCACGGUGCACUUUAUAUAAGUGUAUAGGUUUGCUAAGAACAAAAGGUAUUGAGCCACUUGAGGCGUGCUUUGCUGCUAUCAGAUAAAGAGAGACAACUGUCUGUAGGUAGCCUAAGGAAGAAGGAUGGUUCAGCUUCUAGCAAGUAGGGCACCACUAACCUUGAGCCAGGAUGAUACAGUGUAUGUGACAAAUUGGUUGUUUGUUAACCAUCAACUGGCCUAGAAAGCCCUCCUGAAGCCACUAGACAAGAUACAACGCAAUGCUGAUGGGACCAAACUACUGCGCCAGCCACAGGCGUACCCCACUGCUGCGCCAACGUCCUUAUUAACCCAUUUAUCAACACGUCAGCUGGGUUGGUACAUGGCUCUUGAAGGGGGCGGCUGCGGUUCAGGAGGUAGAGCAGGUUGUCUAUUAAUCACGAGGUUGCCUGGUUUGAUCCCCAACUAGCGCCUGUGCGCGUGUUGAGGUGUCGUUGGGCAAGACACUGAGCCCCGAGUCGCUCCCGGGGGGCAGCCCACUUGGAUGUUAGCCGUAUCGUCAUCGCUGUGUGAGGUUGGGCGUGGGCAACGUGUAUAGAAGCUCUGUGUGAACGCAGUCCAUUCACCGCUGUAAUUGACAAUGAUCCUCUGAAGCAAAGCAAACCUGAAACUGGCUUUGUUCGGUCAGCAGGAGAGAAUACUGUCAAACAGGGGCUUUUUAUGGACAGUCUAUUAACUCGCAAUGACACGUUUCAAGAUACCAACAGUGUGGAGCGGGGGCUCUGAGUUACGCCACUAAUGUGUGUUGCACUUAAUCAUUUUUAAUCACUAAAUUGGUUUUCAAAUCAGGAAUUGAUUUUCUUGGAUUACAGUUUUUGUAACAUCCGUUAAAUCGUGCAAGGACUGUUGUGACUAUCGACAGGCAACAUGGAUGUUCAGUUCAGUUAUUAUUUAUGGUUAUAGUGACUUGUUGUUUGUUUAAUUUUUGUUCCUAGGGAAAUAUACUUGACUGACUUUCACAAAUAAGCUUGUAAUCAUUGUCCAUAUAAGGAAGAGAUUGAGAAAAGCGGUCGAACAAAGGGCUUUCUCCCGUGAGACCGCCACUCUAACUAUAUUUACGAACUGAUAUAUCUCUAUAUCUUAAAUACUGUAACAAACAAGUCAAACCAUUAUGUAUUCACAAAACACAACCAUGUAUUUUUGUUGAGUUAUGUUUAACAGUUAAAACUUUAAUAGUAAUCUGGGAGGAAAAGCGUUACCCUCCAAACGUAAGCGGGACUAUAGGUUGGUUGUAUAUGAUUGUAAUUAAGUGAAAUAAAGGGUAGCACAUGUGUCCACAUCUUUUGAGUUGGACAGGAAAAUCUCCAGAGAUCCCUCUUUUUUUUCACACGUCCAUACUACUGAGCCUACUGGCACUAAACUACUGCUUUGUUUGCAUCCAAUGCUAGUAAAAUAAAGCCCCACGGCAAAAAAACUUGCUCAACUUCUUAAGUCAGCCGUCCCUGUUGUAAAUCACAUAUUCCAGCUGAACAGGACAGAAUGGAAACUCUGCUGUAUAGAAGGCAGGUGAGUUAUGACCGUAGGCCACAAGAGUCCGGUCAUGACCAAUAUCCACGCGAUGACUUUCCCCCGACACCACAACCAGUCUGAGAUUUUUCUGUAUUUCUUUUGCAAUGUGUUGCAUCAGCCAAACGAUGCAAACUGGCCACCAGGAGAACCCGUCCAAAAUGGCCGGUCUGGUCCUGUUUGUGAUCUCUGCAAAAACAGAGCGGGGGCCAGUAGCCCUUUUCUCCCCCCGCCUGGAUGUAAGUUUACUAACUGUGUGUUACAGGUGUUCCUGAUGCAAGGACUAAAGCUUCGCUACGGAAGAAAAAUAAGACCUAAUACAAAGUAGUCUAUGGCCAGCCAAGAAAUGGUUUAACCAGCAUCUCAAAUGUCAAUUACAUUAAAACUUGUAUUGAACUGCUGUUUUUUCCUUUUGUACUCUCGUUUCACACAGCAGAUUAAACACGAGGCUGCCUGGGAAGCAGCAACUUUACAGUAUGCUCAAUUGCUUCAGUGGACAAAUGAAGACUGCCGGAACCCAAAAAAGAGGACUUGCUUUGGUUAACAAAUUAGCACCAGUACAAAGGAGGCUUUGGGCUGCAUCGCCAUUAUUCUGCUAGUUAGCCUCCUCGCUUCCACUUCAUUGUCAUACUGUCAAGCUGAUGCUAUGAAAUACCCAACAAAAGCUACACGUCUUUUUUUGGCAUCUUUUUAAACAUCACCGGCAGAUACCAGCAUGCCCUUUGGGUGAAACCGUGCAUUCUGUGUCUUGCUUAAAGAAGUUGUUGAUCGAAGCACCAUUAACUUAAAAAAAAUGAAUGUGCAGUCUGCUCUAAUAUCUGUGCAUGCAGCUCGCCCGCCGAAUCUCAGCACAAAGCCAAAUCGAAACACAGUCAGCCAAUCAAAGCAAAUGUUCUUAAGAGUUUAAUACAACAUGUGACCCAUACAGCCAGAGAGCCCCCCACCCUGAGCCCUGUUACUACACAGAGGAGCGUUUAGCAGGUAGAGCCACAGAUAGAUAUCCAGAAACAUGGACUCAGUAAAUAAGUAAAUAAGCAACACGUGGGUUUGCAACACCAACCUGAAAAAGGGUUGAAGGGUUUGUGGUGCGUUUACAGUUUUCUUCCCCCGAGUAGCCUGAAAACGAAAUACCUGAUUCAACAUCCCGGACCAGCAUUCAUCUGGUGUUGCAAAGCCAAAUGCCGUCCCCCCCCCCCUCUGCAUCGCCAGGUUUACACUUGAGAUGUAACGGCCCGGUUUUUCAGAGAAACGUUGUUCUCCUCAGCUGACUCGCAGUCCUUAAGGAUGAUUUUGGCGUCUGUUUUGUCUUUUUCGCAUCCAGGGCAAGAAAACCCACUGAUCAUCAGAUGUAAACUAAAUGAUACAUUAUUCAUCAUAUGAACAAUCUGGGUUGUGAUAAAUGAUCAAAGGGGCAACCCUUACUUUCCUCACUGCUCCCCUGCUCUUCUGCCAGAGUUUCAGAGCCAUUAUUACCAACUUCCCAGAUUUCUCAUAGUGCACCUCUGGGUCCCAUCACCCGUGUGUGUGUCUAUGAGAAUGGAUCCAUAUUGUUUUCUGUAUUGUGUAGCCACAGAAGACCUCUAGCAUACAGGUGUGUGUCUAGUUGUUGCAGCUGAUAAGACAUGUGUGUCACAAACCCUCUAAGGAGGGACAAACGGUGGAUAACCCCAAGUAAUGAGCUUUAAUUUAGUGAAAGGCAAUAAAAGGGAGUAUUUGUUUACAGGCAGCUGCAGCGUUGCUUCCUUAGAAUCACGAGGUCAAGUAGCUUUAUAGUCGUGACAGGCCCCAACAGCAGCCCCUUUGUUUGCUGUGGGCCUUUCCAUGCGCAUGGCUUCCAUUUCCCUUGGUUCAAAGAGGGUGAGUGUCCUCAACCUAAUGUUGGUCUUGGCCCUUUUUCACUUGCGCAGAUGCUUCCCACUUUCUCUGGCCUUCAUGGCCGAAAGCAUGUCAAUUACUGGCUACAUCCUGCCCCGCGUGAAAGCAGGAGGUUAUGUCCGAAAUAUGAAUAAUAUUGAGGUCUCUGCGGAUCGCCAGGAGGCAGAGACCCAGAAAUAGCGUCUGUGUCGUUUCAAAGCGGAGCAAUUAUCCAAAGCCAGGCUGGACGAAUCGAUUCCUGCAGUCUUUUUUAAAUGCUCCCGGCCAAUUAUACAGGCAGUGCAUCCUCCCUUUUAGGCCCAUCCUUGAUUUAGACACCACCCACUGAUGGGACUACACCAGGAGCACUUGCUCUUUUUUUUAAAAUGUAUUUUGUUUCCUUCUUUCUCUUUCCUUCUCAUUUGUUACACCGUCACUCUCAUCCCGUCUCCCCCUCUCUCUUGCCUACUCCACCAGUAAGAUAUUCCAAUUAUUACUACUGGAGGAGCACCCCCACCCUCCCUACUUCGCAUCAUACGCCACGUGACCACAACCACUGUCGGAACCAGCUGUUAGUCAGAGAGAGAGAGAGGGGAGAGAGAGGGGAGAGAGAGAGAGAGCGAGGCAGAGACACCAACUCGCUGCGCACGGCGCACAGCCCACAAAGUAGACUUGGAGGACCGCUGCGCUCUGACUGGAGAGCUGCUCGCUUCAGCCGUGGAUACUAUCGCACAACCGGCGUCGUCUCCUGAGCCGCUGUCCCUGGGAUACCCUGGCUCCGUCCUCUCCUUUCACAGUUUUUCGUACCCCCCUCCCCCUCUCCCUCCCUUCCCCUUCUUUUUUUUUUUUUUUGCUUUUCUUUCUCAUCUUUCCUCCCCGUCUCCUCAUCCUCGAGCAUCAUCCCCGGUCUCGCAAGUGGUCUUGCCCGCCUGGCUAACUUUCCCACCCCCCCUUCACCCACCCCGCC
ensembl:lncRNA